GGCACAAGGUAGACAUUGGAGUAUGAAAUCCAACAAACAACUUCCACACAGAUAAAUCACUGAUUAAGGUAAACAAGCUUCCUUAUCUGAUUAGAAGCUGUGCCCAUAUUCCUUUGCAUGCAAAAGGAGGUAUCUCUUUGCCAGCUCAAGGACAGGUGUAAAAGUUUGUUUCUUAAAAGAAGACAACAACUAACUGGUUAAAGGUACACCAAGCCAAUAUUUAAUCGAUUCAUCAGACGGGAGUGGCAAGACCUACAAAGAGCACAAACGUUGCUCAGUGCUUCUCAGGAUCCACUCACAGAACAAAGGGAAGUUGGUGCAAUUAUCUAUUUUCUUAUUUGUAAAGCUCUCCUUCUAAAUCUGAAUAUGGCAUGAUUGAAAGAUUCUAUAGCCCUUCAGAAUAUAGGAAAAGCUGGGUCCAAAUCAAGCUCAUUCAAUAACAAGUUAUUGCUCAUCUCCGGAGCGUCAGCUAUUUUUUCUGUCUUGGUUUCUUUAAGGCCUUGAAAGAAGCACUUGUUAUUACUCAGGUUUCCAUUUUAAUGUAUUUAUUAAAAAGACAACCUUCCUCCAUAUUGUGUUCCACAUCAUUUUGUAAACUAUAUUAGAUUUGACUAUUAGCUCUUUCACAGGUUCAACCAAAAUUAUAAUUUGAGAUAUAUGGCUACAAUUUCACAACUGAUUAAUGAGAGAAAAUAUUAAUAUCCUUUCUUACCAAGUUUUGAUCAACAAGGAGGGAACUGUGGAAGAAAACAAUAUCCUUCCUUAUUUAAAUUUGAUCCGAGCUAAUUUUGAAUCAAAUUGGGUAGUAUCCUUGGAUUCCAUGCCAUCUAAUCUAUCAGAUUAUUUUACCAUACGGGACCUUGCUAAAUCCAUCUAGAAAACCUUUAAUGUCCUGAACUCAUGAAUCUUCUUGGUGAAAUAAAACUCUAUAAGAUUUGUGAGACACGUAUUUCCUACACACUAAACCGCUCCAACAACUUUCCCAACACUGAUGUCAGGUUCAUUGACCCUGAAGUUUCUUGACAUCCCUUUGCUGCCUUCCUAAUGGUGCAACACUAGCCGCCAACCAGUCUCCAGAACUUCACCUGAUAUAAAUCGUUCUGCAAGGAUUUCUGCAAUUUAUUCCCUAACAUCUUACGAUUGAAGGGGGCACUAGGUCAAGCCAUGGGAUUUAUAAACCUGAACCUAUGUUAAAAGCAUCAACAUUUACUUUUUGAUAAUUCAUAAAUGGCCUAAGGCUUCACAACUUGUGUACUCCAGUACC